rnacentral:rRNA from 1 species
AUUGAACGCUGGCGGCAGGCUUAACACAUGCAAGUCGAGCGGAGAUGAGGUGCUUGCACCUUAUCUUAGCGGCGGACGGGUGAGUAAUGCUAGGAAUCUGCCUAUUAGUGGGGGACAACAUUCCGAAAGGAAUGCUAAUACCGCAUACGUCCUACGGGAGAAAGCAGGGGAUCUUCGGACCUUGCGCUAAUAGAUGAGCCUAAGUCGGAUUAGCUAGUUGGUGGGGUAAAGGCCUACCAAGGCGACGAUCUGUAGCGGGUCUGAGAGGAUGAUCCGCCACACUGGGACUGAGACACGGCCCAGACUCCUACGGGAGGCAGCUGUGGGGAAUAUUGGACAAUGGGGGGAACCCUGAUCCAGCCAUGCCGCGUGUGUGAAGAAGGCCUUAUGGUUGUAAAGCACUUUAAGCGAGGAGGAGGCUACUGAGACUAAUACUCUUGGAUAGUGGACGUUACUCGCAGAAUAAGCACCGGCUAACUCUGUGCCAGCCGCCGCGGUAAUAC